rnacentral:rRNA from 1 species
AAAUCCGCACGCUUAACGUGCGGGCGUCCGGUGGAAACUGCGUGGCUUGGGACCGGAAGAUCCAGAGGGUACGUCCGGGGUAGGAGUGAAAUCCUGUAAUCCUGGACGGACCACCGGUGGCGAAAGCGCUCUGGAAAGACGGAUCCGACGGUGAGGGACGAAAGCUCGGGUCACGAACCGGAUUAGAUACCCGGGUAGUCCGAGCUGUAAACGAUGUCUGCUAGGUGUGCCACAGGCUACGAGCCUGUGGUGUGCCGUAGGGAAGCCGUGAAGCAAGACCGCCUGGGAAGUACGUCCGCAAGGAUGAAACUUAAAGGAAUUGGCGGGGGAGCACUACAACCGGAGGAGCCUGCGGUUUAAUUGGACUCAACGCCGGACAUCUCACCAGCAUCGACAGUAGCAAUGAAGAUCAGUGUGAUGAGCUUAUCGGAGCUACUGAGAGGAGGUGCAUGGCCGCCGUCAGCUCGUACCGUGAGGCGUCCUGUUAAGUCAGGCAACGAGCGAGACCCGCACUCCUAAUUGCCAGCAACACCCUUGCGGUGGUUGGGUACAUUAGGAGGACUGCCAGUGCCAAACUGGAGGAAGGAACGGGCAACGGUAGGUCAGUAUGCCCCGAAUGUGCUGGGCAACACGCGGGCUACAAUGGUCGAGACAGUGGGAUGCAACCCCGAGAGGGGGCGCUAAUCUCCGAAACUCGAUCGUAGUUCGGAUUGCGGACUGAAACUCGUCCGCAUGAAGCUGGAUUCGG